AUUGAACGCUGGCGGCAUGCCUUACACAUGCAAGUCGAACGGCAGCACGGGUGCUUGCCCCUGAUGGCGAGUGGCGAAAGGGUGAGUAAUACAUCUGGACAUGUCCUGUCGUUGGGGAUAUCGCGGCGAAAGCCGGAUUAAUACCGCAUACGAACUACGGCUGACAGCGGGGGACCUUCGGGCUUCGCGCUAUGGGGUUGGCCGAUGGCUGAUUCGCUAGUUGGGGGGGUAAAGGCCUAGCAAGGCGACGAUCAGUAGCUGGUCUGAGAGGACGACCAGCCACACUGGGACUGAGACACGGCCCAGACUCCUACGGGAGGCAGCAGUGGGGAAUUUUGGACAAUGGGCGAAAGCCUGAUCCAGCAAUGCCGCGUGUGUGAAGAAGGCCUUCGGGUUGUAAAGCACUUUUGUCCGGAAAGAAAUACUUGGCCCUAAUACGGUCGGGGGAUGACGGUACCGGAAGAAUAAGCACCGGCUAACUACGUG
rnacentral:rRNA from 1 species